GCCUGGGUGGCUCAGUCGGUUGAGUGUCCGACUUUGGCUCAGGUCAUGAUCUCGCAGUUCGUGAGUUCAAGCCCCACACCGGGCU
rnacentral:tRNA from 1 species